rfam:Pseudomonas putida KT2440 complete genome.
UUGCGCAAGUGCUAUUUAUCUGAGCAAUCUUCGCAAUCCUCUGUCGCAACCCGUCCGGUAUCUUUAUCACCAGAAUCACUGCCCGGACAUCAGUCCACGGCGACGCGCCCUAGGCGGGCGGUCGCGGCCGGCCAUCCAACAGGAUCUGCAGGCCCCCGGGCUACACACCCUCCAGAAGACGGUGUGAGGUGAGCCGGCGCCACAAGUGCCGAGCACGGACGACAAUUCCUGAAGGGAGGCCCUGUGGUCUCCCU